GACGAACGCUGGCGGCGUGCUUAACACAUGCAAGUCGAACGGAAAGGCCCUGCUCUUGUGGGGUGCUAGUGUGGCGCACGGGUGAGUAACACGUGUGUACCCCGCCCUUGUCUUUGGGAUAUCUUCAGGAAACUGGGGCUAAUACCGGAUAGGAGCUCCUGCUGCGUGGUGGGGGUUGGAGAGUUUCGGCGGUUGGGGAUGGUCUCGCGGCUUAUCCGCUUGUUGGUGGGGUAGUGGUUUACCAAGGCUUUGACGGGUAGCCGGCCUGAGAGGGGGACCGGCCACAUGGGGACUGAGAGACGGCCCAGACUCCUACGGGAGGCAGCGGGGGGGAAUAUUGCACAAUGGGGGGAAGCCGGAGGCAGCAACGCCGGGUGCGGGAUAACGGCUUUCGGGUUGAAAACCGCUUUCGCCUGUGACGAAGCGUGAGUGACGGUAAUGGGUAAAGAAGCACCGGCUAACUACGUG
rnacentral:rRNA from 1 species